UUCCUCUCAGGAUCACACCUGGAGAGUUUCCCGAACUCUACCAGUCUCAGCUCUGGGAGGGGGAGUCAAGCAGAGGCAAACUCAUUCCAUUCUUAGCUUGACCAGUGGCUAGCGAGUGGAAGGCAAGCUGCUGCAACU